UCAACGGUAGAAGUGUCAUCAUACAAGUUAGCAUGGUGCUAGUCAGUUUGUCGAACUGUAUCUAAUACUAUUUUAUUGUUUCACAAAAAGUUAUUACCACGUAUUGGUGAAGGUCUGCACAUAUUAAAAUAAGCUCAUGAAAUUGUUGAUCUCGGUUGAGACUGUGGAACAUUGCAGGAUAGCGAACUAUUGGUUAGCUUGUUAGCGAACACUUGUGACAGCACAGCGCUGUCAUAUUGGGGACAAGUAUAUUGCUGCUGAAUAAACCUGUUGACGUUCUCAAAAAGAAGAUGGAGCUGCAGGCGGUAUUGAUGGCUGCUGGUGGUUGUUCUCGUAUGAUGGACCUGACCUACAACACCCGCAAACCUCUGCUACCUGUAGGGAACGAGCCCCUCAUCUGGUACCCCCUCAACCUGCUCGAGAGAGUGGGGUUUGAAGGUCAUAUCCUCUACAUUUAUGGCUCAAUCCAAUCAAACCCACUUUGGUGUAUUACUUUUUUUCAUGUUCAAAUAAAAUCCCAGAAUCAUGGUGUUGGAUACUACAA